rnacentral:rRNA from 1 species
AAGUCGACGGUAGCAGCGAACUGCUGGCUGCUUUGCUGACGAGAGGCGGACGGGAGACAUCUGUCUGGGAAACUGCCUGAUGGAGGGGGAUAACUACUGGAAACGGUAGCUAAUACCGAAUAGCGGCGGAAGACCAAAGAGGGGGACCUUCGGGCCUCUUGGCAUCAGAUGUGCCCAAAUGGGAUUAUGUAGGAGGAGGGGUAACGGCUCACCUAGGUCACUAUCUCUACCUGGACUGAGAGGAUGACCACUCACACUGAAACUGAGACCCGACUCAUACUCCUAGGGGAGGCAGCAGAGGGGAAUAUUGCACAGUGGGCCUGAUCCUGAUGCACCCAUGGCGUGUGUAUGAAGAACGCCUUCGGGUUGUAAAGUACUUUCAGAGAAGAGGAAGGCGAUGCGGCAAUAACCGAUGAGAUUGACGUUACCCGAAGAACAAGCUCCGUAUAACUCCGUGCCCGCAGCCGUGGUAAUACGGAGGGCGCAAGUGUUAAUCACUGUUACUGGGCGUAGAGCGCACGCAGGUGGUCUGUCAACUCGGAUGCGAAAUCCCCGGCCUCAACCUGGGAACUGCAUCCGAAACUGUCAAGCUUGACUCUCG